rnacentral:lncRNA from 1 species
CCUAUUUUCAAAACGAUCUACGGAUUAAAAUUAAUAGUUGAUUAGAAAUAUUCUGUAAAUUUAUCAAUAACAUAUGUGACAUCUCUUAAAACAUCUAUUUUAAUUUAAAUCGUUAUAAAUUAUCGAUAAGUUUUUGUAGAUUAAGCUUAAAGUGUUGAAAGUUUACAGACGUAACGAUUUGUCGAUAAGAGUUGGAUACACGAAACGAUAUGGAAAGAGAGAGAGAGAGAGGGAGAGAGAGUAAAAAGAAAGGAAAGAUAAGGAUAGAUUAUAUUUGGUCGAGCGACGAGUGAGUUUGCGUGGGUUAUAUUCUCGCGUACCACAUAUGGAUGACGUAUAUCCGUUAUAAAGUUAUAUCUCGGUCACUUUGGUGAAAGUUGGCGUGAGAACGAGAUCCAGAAACGCGGUGAUUUACGCGGCCGAUUACGCGGUGGAAAAUGUGGAAAACCGUUGUGCAUCAAAGGGAGGAGCAAUGGACGAAAUUAUUGGGGCCACGGGGCCGAAACCCGUGCUUCCCCUUUAGACAUUUCAAUAACUCGGGAUCCAAUAUCCCGAACCCGCUGCAUCGAGGAGAACGAAGAAAAGAGCAUCGAAACCGGACUUAUUCGGAUUCUUCGCCGGGGAAUAAUCAGCAAAGAAUUUCUGACGUUUCCUACCGCCCUCCCCUCCCUCCUCCGGUGAUUAUUUCUUUUAAAUAUUUCAAUCUCUCGGAAUUCGAUAUUCCAAUUAUUCGGAAUCUGUCCACCUUCUUCGAAAGCGUCGAGAACGAUGCGACGAUGGAAAACGAGCGAUAAUAAGCAAUUCGAAUUCCACACGCUACAAGGUUUAUAUAUACAGGCAAUUUAUAUUAGAUGGAUAAAAGAUUCUGGAAAAAAAGGAUAGAGAAGGGAAAUUAAUUUAAACCCGGGAAAGUUUCCGGCUAAUAAGUUUGCCUUGUAUUAUUUAAUUUAGAUUAGGUUAAUCUGCAAGAAUCUGCAUAAAUUAUACGCUACCUCUUCUCAAUUUCUUCGCGCUUCAAAUUAUAAACUCGGAGUGUUUAUAUUCCACGAGGCAAGUCGCGUGGAAGAAUUGUACAGAGAACGCGCAGUGAUACGUAGUAGUAACCGUACACGCAUCGAUAGGAAAACAAACCGUCUCUCUCUCGCUCUGUCUCUUUCUCCCCCCACCUAUAAUAACUCGUCGUCGAAAAACAACAAUAUCCGUCCCGUGUCGCGUUCCCUCUUAGUUCUCGACACUCGUCCGUCCGCGAACGACGAAAUAUCAGUCGCUGCUGUCGCCGCGUGUUACGUGAAUACGCACGGUGAGAAAUACGACGUUUCCAAAAAGUUCGCUCGAGAAUGGCCGAUACAGCGACACCGUCGAUCGUGGCGACCACGAAGCGAAGCAAGGAAAAAGGACAUCUUUUUUUCGCGCAUGCUCGGAACGAGUGAUCGCCCGGUAGAUGGCAGCGCUUUCUGAAAUUCAGAAAUGGAGAAUCUAGCGAGGAACGUCGAUAUUCACGAAUUCGUCGAUUCGACGAAAAUCGAAGGAAGAAAAUCGCAAACGAGGAGGAAGGGGAAGAAGAACGGCGAGCGAAUGAGGAUUAAGCUCGAUUCGCGAGAGGCAAUUAAGCGACGUUCUUUGAUGGUCAUCUUCAAUGCAGCGUCCACUUAAGAUACUCUCGCACGAGUUUUAUCCUCAAAUGGAUUAACUUGAAUCGAUAUUUCAUCGUCUAUACAUUAUCCUUUCCAUCAUAGAUGCAAGUGACAAGGCUAUUACUGGUGGUAAA